UCGAAGGAAAGAAAGAUAGACUUACAACAAUGGCUUUAGUGGCGGACUGGUGAGUAACGCGUGAGCAACCUGCCUAUUAGAGGGGAAUAACAGUGAGAAAUCAUUGCUAAUACCGCAUAUACCAUACAUAUUGCAUGAUAAGUAUGGGAAAGGAGCAAUCCGCUAAUAGAUGGGCUCGCGUCUGAUUAGAUAGUUGGUGGGGUAACGGCCUACCAAGUCAACGAUCAGUAGCCGGACUGAGAGGUUGAACGGCCACAUUGGGACUGAGAUACGGCCCAGACUCCUACGGGAGGCAGCAGUCGGGAAUAUUGCGCAAUGGAGGAAACUCUGACGCAGUGACGCCGCGUAUAGGAAGAAGGUCUUCGGAUUGUAAACUAUUGUCGUUAGGGAAGAAAAAUGACAGUACCUGAAGAAGAAGGACCGGCUAACUACGUGCCAGCAGCCGCGGUAAUACGUAGGGUCCGAGCGUUAUCCGGAUUUACUGGGUGUAAAGGGCGAGUAGACGGAACUGCAAGUCAGAUGUGAAAUGCUAGAGCUCAACUUUAGAACUGCAUCUGAAACUGUGGAACUAGAGUGCAGGAGAGGUAAGCGGAAUUCCUAGUGUGGCGGUGAAAUGCGUAGAUAUUAGGAGGAACACCAGUGGCGAAGGCGGCUUACUGGACUGUAACUGACGUUGAGGCGCGAAAGUGUGGGGAGCAAACAGGAUUAGAUACCCUGGUAGUCCACACUGUAAACGAUGGAUACUAGGUGUAGGCAUGAAUGUGUCUGUGCCGUCGCAAACGCAGUAAGUAUCCCACCUGGGGAGUACGGCCGCAAGGUUGAAACUCAAAGGAAUUGACGGGGGCCCGCACAAGCAGUGGAGUAUGUGGUUUAAUUCGACGCAACGCGAAGAACCUUACCAAGACUUGACAUAUACGGGAAUACUUAAGAAAUUAAGUAGUCUUUCGGGACUCGUAUACAGGUGAUGCAUGGUUGUCGUCAGCUCGUGUCGUGAGAUGUUGGGUUAAGUCCCGCAACGAGCGCAACCCCUAUUGUUAGUUGCUACGCAAGAGCACUCUAGCGAGACUGCCGUUGACAAAACGGAGGAAGGUGGGGACGACGUCGAAUCAUCAUGCCCCUUAUGUCCUGGGCUACACACGUAAUACAAUGGCGGUCAACAAAGGGAGGCAAAGCCGCGAGGCAGAGCGAACCCCAAAAAGCCGUCCCAGUUCGGAUCGCAGGCUGCAACCCGCCUGCGUGAAGUCGGAAUCGCUGGUAAUCGCGGAUCAGAAUGCCGCGGUGAAUACGUUCCCGGGCCUUGUACACACCGCCCGUCACACCAUGAGAGUCGGGAACACCCGAAGCCCAUAGCCUAACCGCAAGGAGGGCGUGGUCGAAGGUGGGUUCGAUAAUUGGGGUGA
rnacentral:rRNA from 1 species